rnacentral:misc_RNA from 1 species
UCCCCCGUGAGGGGGCAGUCUCGCCUGACAUAUAAAACAGGCAACGCGGGUUACGUUCGUUACCCCACUGAAGGGAACAACUCAAGCCACGAACUGACGACGACCAUGCAUCACCUGCCCAGCCGUCUUGCGAAAGGUAAAGUUUCCUAAACCGGUCGUCUGGGUUUCAAACCCUGGUGAGGUUCUUCGUUUGUCAUCGAAUUGAGCCGCAUGAUCCACCGCUUGUGCAAGUCCCCGUCUAUUCCUUUGAGUUUUAAUCUUGCGAUCGUACUACCCAGGCGCCUAACUUAACGCGUUAGCUUCGUCACAAAGAGGGUCGAUACUCCUUAUAACCAGUUAGGAUCGUUUAGGGCGUGGACUA